rnacentral:rRNA from 1 species
CAGCAGCCACGGUAACACGAGGGGGGCAAGCGUUGUUCGGAAUUAUUGGGCGUAAAGGGUGCGUAGGCGGUCUGAUAAGUCUUAUGUGAAAUCUCUGGGCUCAACCCAGAGUCUGCAUGGGAAACUGUCAGGCUUGAGAAUGGGAGAGGUGAGUGGAAUUUCCGGUGUAGCGGUGAAAUGCGUAGAUAUCGGAAGGAACACCUGUGGCGAAAGCGGCUCACUGGACCAUUUCUGACGCUGAUGCACGAAAGCUAGGGGAGCAAACAGGAUUAGAUACCCCCGUAGUCCCUGUCUCUUAUAC